UACGUAGGGUGCAAGCGUUGUUCGGAAUUAUUGGGCGUAAAGCGCGUGUAGGUGGUUAGGAAAGUUGGAUGUGAAAUCCCUGGGCCCAACUCAGGAAGUGCAUCCAAAACUACCUAGCUAGAGGGCGAGAGAGGGAGGUGGAAUUCCUAGUGUAGAGGUGAAAUUCGUAGAUAUUAGGAGGAAUACCGGUGGCGAAGGCGGCCUCCUGGUUCGUUCCUGACACUGAGACGCGUAAGCGUGGGGAG
rnacentral:rRNA from 1 species